GGUACCUGCUAAUGGAUCGAACUCUUUAAAUAUUAAUUGGCACAUUCAUUUUAAUUGGAGCACUGAUUAAAAUGAAUGGAACUAUUGGUCCAUAUUAAGUCAAUUUUUUUUUCUUACAAUUAUAUCAGAAGUGUGUAUUUACGUGUUUAUUAAUUUAAUUUCAUUUCUAUAAUUAUUAAUUUAUGUUUAGUAAAAUCGGUAAAUAAUAAAAGGUCAUUUAUGUGUUUUUUGAUUAAUUGAAUUAGUUUGUAUCAAGAUUGUG
rnacentral:misc_RNA from 1 species